ACACACAGCAAGCCACCAAUCAGUGUAGAGCGCACGCAGUGUAGGCGCUUGGUGUAUCUUCUCAUCACCACAAAAAUGAUGGAAGAAUCUCCUAACUCGAACUCGCCACAGUCUUUUCACAUAAACGGAGUUGAUUAUAUAAAGUAUUGCGAUGUUAAACUAAUAUAAUAGGAAGAUUAUAGCCAUAAUAAAUCAUAGUAUUUAAAUACUUAAGUACAUUCGAAGGCAAAUACUUUUGUACUUUUACCUAAGUUUAAAGAGCACUUUUACUGGAGAAAUAUUUUACAGAGUGUAUUUCUACUUUACCUCAAGAACAUGGUGUUUUGUACUUCAUCCACCACUGGUCCUGUGCAUAAGGGAAAGGGCUGAAGGCAUUUCUGAAGUGAGAGGAAGGUAAUCGGAAGGAAAAAUGCUCACGGAUCAAACGAUCGAACAAUGACGCAAUACCAGACAAUCCGGAUGGGCAGAAGGAAAUUCAAAUAGCUGAAUUAAGAAUAAUAAGGAAAAUGUUGCCACCUAUGACAAGAAGGCAGAUCUUGGUGCAGGUAUGAGAGCUAUUGUUAAUAGAAUUAGGUCAGGUUGUUUUUCUAUACAGUGGACACCCAUAGGAGUGUAACUCACCAGAGAACAAAUCACAAGCAAAGUGAAACAUGGACUACUACAAUGUCAAAGUGUAAUUCAAUGUACUGAAGCAUACUAAGACUUAAAAUGUGUGAUACGCAGCCGUCCACUUUUCAUUUCUAAUAAGUGUUGUGUAACAUGUUUUAUAAAGUCUGUACUUUUUAUGUUUUUGUGAACAUGAAAUAUACUGUUUUUACAUGUACCCAGAUGCUUCACAUUGACUUUUUUGUGUAGACUGUGUAAAGCUCCACUCAUGAUGUAGGGGCUUUAUAUAUCUAAUGUGCUAAUCACAUGUCGGUCGGUCGGUGUAAGAUUUUCUGCAAGCAAAUGCUUUCAAGUUUGUAAUCUUUUGAACUGAUCGUAGUCAAAGACACAUGGUGACAUUUUAUAAACUGACAUUUGAUAACCUAA